UACGUAGGGAGCAAGCGUUGUUCGGAUUUACUGGGCGUAAAGGGCGCGUAGGCGGCAAUUCAAGUCAUCUGUGAAAUCUCCGGGCUUAACUCGGAACGGUCAGAUGAUACUGUUUUGCUAGAGUGCAGAAGGGGCAAUCGGAAUUCUUGGUGUAGCGGUGAAAUGCGUAGAUAUCAAGAGGAACACCUGAGGUGAAGACGGGUGCUGGGCUGACACUGACGCUGAGGCGCGAAAGCCAGGGGAGCAAACGGG
rnacentral:rRNA from 1 species